ensembl:lncRNA
GUGGUUGUAUUAUGAUUGUGUUGUGGUUGUGUCGUGGUUGUGUUGUGGUUAUAUCAUGGUUGUGUUAUGGUUAUAUCAUGGUUGUGUUGUGGUUACUACCUGGUGUGGGUAGGCGUCUCCAGAACCCAACAGUCUCUUGUUUUGGUCAAACAGCAUCCAGAGCUGAGAGUCAAACUCUGAUUCAUACAACUGGUCACACAUUACUGGACAGCUGGGGGUCACCUCUCCUGACUUAGGCUGGGGAGAGAGGUGGAGAGGUAGAGAGGUCAGACACACAGUACUGGACAGCUGGGGAGAGAGGUAGAGAGGUCAGACAGUACUGGACAGCUGGGGAGAGAGGUAGAGAGGUCAGACAGUACUGGACAGCUGGG